GUCAAGUGACCAAGGGCUUACGAUGGAUACCUAGGCAUUCAGAAGCGAUGAAGGGCGCGAUAACCGGCGAUAUGCUUCGGGGAGCUGGAUACAAGCUUUGAUCCGGAGGUUCCCGAAUGAGGUAACUCCUUGUACUAUCUGUGAAUCCAUAAACAGAUUAAGAGCGAACUCGGUGAACUGAAACAUCUUAGUAACCGAAGGAAAAGAAAGCAAAAGCGAUUCCCUUAGUAGCGGCGAGCGAACGGGGAGAAGCCUAAACCAACAAGCUUGUCUUGUUGGGGUUGUGGGACAGCAUAACGGUAUAGUAAGAAUUAGGUGAAGCAAUUGAAUAUUGCACCAAAGAGGGUGAAAGUCCCGUAAUCGAAAAUUUAAACUAGCCAGCUGUAUCCCAAGUAGCAUGGGGCACGUGAAAUCCCGUGUGAAUCAGCGAGGACCACCUCGUAAGGCUAAAUAUUCCUGAAUGACCGAUAGCGUAACAGUACCGUGAGGGAAAGGUGAAAAAGAACCCCUGGCUGGGAGUGAAAUAGAACAUGAAAUCGUAAGCCUACAAGCAGUAGAAGGACGACUUAACGUCUAACUGCGUGCCUGUUGAAGAAUGAGCCGGCGACUUAUAGGUAGUGGCAGGGUAAGGGAAUGAUUUUUUUGAGGCAUAGCGAAAACGGG
rnacentral:rRNA from 15 species